rnacentral:rRNA from 1 species
GACGUAGGGCGCGAGCGUUGUCCGGAUUUAUUGGGCGUAAAGAGCUCGUAGGCGGCUUGUCGCGUCGGACUGUGAAAACCCGCGGCUCAACCGUGUGGUCUGCAGUCGAUACGGGCAGGCGUAGAGUUCGGUAGGGGGAGACGUGGAAUUCCUGGAUGUAGCGGUGAAAUGCGCAGAUAUCAGGAGGAACACCGGUGGCGAAGGCGGGUCUCUGGGCCGAUACUGACGCUGAGGAGCGAAAGCGUGGGGAGCGAACAGG